rnacentral:rRNA from 1 species
GUCAAGUCAUCAUGCCCCUUAUGUCUUGGGCUGCAAACAUGCUACAAUGGCCGGUACAGAGGGCUGCGAUACCGUGAGGUGGAGCGAAUCCCGCAAAGCCUGUCGUAGUUCGGAUUGCAGGCUGCAACUCGCCUGCAUGAAGCCGGAGUUGCUAGUAACCGUGGGUCAGCCACACUACGGUGAAUACGUUCCCGGGCCUU